GCCUUGAAAAAUAAGCAACUACCAUCGAAUUUGCAUUAUAAAUAUGCAUGUGUUGAGUAGGUUAUGAAAUGCAGUAGCAAGAAAAAUGGUUUCAAAUAAGUUCUCCUUUAUUUGGGUGGUUCUCUUUUUGUGUAUGCUGAGUUUCUCUAACAUUGUUGGUGCUUCUGAAAUGUACGCAAAUAGAAAACAACUUAACCCAGAUCAGCGAUGUAAGAGAGGAAGAGUUACUGUUGAAGUCAAUGAAGUUCGAGUGCCUAGGGAAAAGGCAGCAAAUGCUCCACGUUGCCACAAUUAUCUUUGAUCUGGUUGUGUUAUGGUACAAUUUCAUGGAUGAAUAACAAAAAUAAAAGACAAGUAUAAAUUAAGUGACACUGAUUUUCAUUGGUUUAGUUCAUGUAAUUUGUUUGGUUUUCAUGAUAAAUUUAUGUAAUUUUUGUUAAGAUAAUAUGAAUAAGAGUUUAAUUAGUAUGUUCUGUUAGUCUAUAAUUAUUUUACACAUGCAUCUAAUGAUGUGUUUCCAUAUUUAUUAAAUGACGUGAAAACACAUCAUUGAAUGCAUAUGUGAAAUAAUUAUAUUCUGAGAUAGUAUACUAAUUUAAUUCAUAUGUAUAAUUGUGUA